rnacentral:rRNA from 1 species
UCCUCCCUCUGUCGGCGUGCUUAACACAUGCAAGUCGAACGGAAAGGCCCUGCUUUUGUGGGGUGCUCGAGUGGCGAACGGGUGAGUAACACGUGAGUAACCUGCCCUUGACUUUGGGAUAACUUCAGGAAACUGGGGCUAAUACCGGAUAGGAGCUCCUGCUGCAUGGUGGGGGUUGGAAAGUUUCGGCGGUUGGGGAUGGACUCGCGGCUUAUCAGCUUGUUGGUGGGGUAGUGGCUUACCAAGGCUUUGACGGGUAGCCGGCCUGAGAGGGUGACCGGCCACAUUGGGACUGAGAUACGGCCCAGACUCCUACGGGAGGCAGCAGUGGGGAAUAUUGCACAAUGGGCGGAAGCCUGAUGCAGCAACGCCGCGUGCGGGAUGACGGCCUUCGGGUUGUAAACCGCCUUCGCCUGUGACGAAGCGUGAGUGACGGUAAUGGGUAAAGAAGCACCGGCUAACUACGUG